UUUCUCUUUCUUAUUAGAGGCUUAAGUGGUUCCCAACUCAGGGACUUUUCUGGAGAUCGAUGUUGUCAUGAUAGAUCAUAUAUCAUGAAAUAUUUAUUUCCAGAUCAUUGAGAACUUCUGACUGUGGCUUAUAUGCAUCUCCGCAGUUAUCAAAACCAUUUUACGAGAGCAAAGGAUAAUAACUCUCAUACCCAUCUUGGUUAAUCAUGUACUCUUUGUCGAUAAGGACAAUAACUCUCCGCAAUUAAGCUCACUACCCAACUCAUAAAGUCUUUUGUGCAAACCAUUCAUGCAGAUAUGGACUAACAUUUUCCUUAAUACUUAUGUAUUGCACUCCUUGAAAAUUCCCUUACUUAAUAACUAGCUUUCUUGAAACCUAUAUCCCAGUGAAAAUCCAAAUGUAUUGUCGUUACGUAAAUACGUUGUAAAAUGCAAAGAAAUUUUGUUUUUCCAUAUUGCACAGAUAAUGUUUAACUCAUAGCUAAUGGUUUUUGCUAUA